UACGUAGGGGGCAAGCGUUAUCCGGAUUUACUGGGUGUAAAGGGAGCGUAGACGGCGGUGCAAGCCAGAUGUGAAAGCCCGUGGCCCAACCACGGGACUGCUCUGGAAACUGUGUUGCUGGAGUGCAGGAGGGGUAAGCGGAAUUCCUAGUGUAGCGGUGAAAUGCGUAGAUAUUAGGAGGAACACCGGUGGCGAAGGCGGCUUACUGGACUGUAACUGACGUUGAGGCUCGAAAGCGUGGGUAUCGAACAGG
rnacentral:rRNA from 1 species